rnacentral:sRNA from 1 species
UCUUUAUGAUUUUCUACAACUAAUCCAACAUUUUUAAAUAUAACUUAAAGAAACGUAACAAGGACGUGGUUUGAUGGUGGUGUUUUUAACCGUGUCAAUUUGAAUCAAGUUCUCGAAGAUAUAAAUUGAGGUUUUUCAGUCUAGAAAGCGUGAAGGUGAAAACGAUCUAAAAUGCAUCAAAAGAGAAAAGUGAUAGAGUUAAGUACCAAUUUAGAAGUUAAAGCAUUUUCUUAGAAUAACAUAAAACAAAACAGAGUACAUCUUGACGAGCUUGAAAAAUGCUUAUCAACACCAUAAAAACACUACAAGUCUCUCUUCUGCUGACACCUCCGCUUUUUCAGUUAAUCACAGCUUGACACCUCAUUAAAAUCAACAGCCAAUCAGAACAUUUUGAUUAAUACACCUCAUUUACGUUGACCAAUAAAAACUUACUAUUUUUCCAUGUCAUCCCAUCAACUUAACAAAAUUAAAAUUAGACAUGGGCCUACCCCAACCAAACUAUUUUCAAAAUUAAAA